rnacentral:lncRNA from 1 species
GGAAAAUCUUUGCUUACCAAAGAAUUCAUCUGAAAGAUGUUUGCGUAUAGCAGUGACAUUGCUGGCAUUGGCAGAUAUUUACUUAACUGUAACAAUUUUUCUUCAGCAGGCUUGAAUCAGCAUGCAGUAAGUUGGUCAAAUGUGGCUGAACUCCGUGGUCCCUUAACUGUUUGCAACAGAACAAACACAAAGGGUCUAGGGAAAUACUGUGUUUAAAUCAGCAAAAAUGUGGAAGAUGACGAUGCAUCUUUGAUUUCAGGUGUGCAGGUCAGUAGAGCAACCCAAAGGGAGAAGUUUUCUCCCAAUUACUUUUGAUUUCUUGAUUUUUUUUUUCCAAAUCAUUAAAUUAAAUGAAGUAGUUUAAUUAACAAUUACACUGCUUAAGUUUACUCUGAAGAAAUUUGAAUGAAUCAAGUCUUCCCCUUCCUUCUACAGCAAAUUAGUAAUGUAAGGACUGCUCAUUAAGUAAGAGGGAGCUAAUUACUCUCAGCAGCAGAUGAAGAGAAAAUGAAACCUGAAAUCUGAGCGGUAGCCAUAGCUAGCCCUUGGUUCUUGCUCUCUGCAUGCUGCAAGGGAGAAAGCAGAGUAAAUCCAGAGGGUGCCAACAGUGACUAUGCUUUCAUUUUUUAAGUGAUACCUUCUCUUCUGCAAAAAAGACCUCCCCAUCCAGCUCAGCCCACUGUGAGCAGCAGCAACACACUGAGGCCUUCACUAAAUGCUGGUGCCAUCUGGUGUGGGCUGGAGGAAUGA